AUCUGUUUGCACAAGCCUCUGAGAGGGAUGAAGAUAUUGUUUUCUUUGAUCAGAUUAUGCCGGUAAAGGUUUUCUGGUUUACCCUAUAGGGCUUGUAGCUCAGUUGGUUAGAGCGCGCGCUUGAUAAGCGUGAGGUCGGAGGUUCAAGUCCUCCCAGGCCCACCAGUUACACGAUGCUAAAAGUUGCUAUAUUGGGAGAGUUGAUAAUCCCUUACAGGAAAUUAUUGCCCUUAAUAAAACUUUAUUUUCUAAAAGCAUUCAGAGCUGACAUAGAAUAGAGCUGACAUAGAAUUGAGAAUCUGACAUAGGAAUUAUUGAAAUUGUUUUGGAAUUAUUGAAAUUGUUUUCUAUCAUUUUAAAAGGCUAAAAUAUUCUGUCUCUAUUUUUAAAAUAGCAUCAGGUGUUUUGUAAGAGUGUGAAGUUUUUAAGUGUGAGGUUUUUUAUAUUUUAGUGUGAGGUUUUUAUAAGGGUAUGACGUGAGAGCGUUUUGACCUGUUUUAGGGGCCGUAGCUCAGCUGGGAGAGCACCUGCUUUGCAAGCAGGGGGUCGUCGGUUCGAUCCCGUCCGGCUCCACCAUAAUUUGGUUCAUCAUUAUUGUUAGAAGAAUAGUUAUUGCAAGAGAUUGAGAGAUCUCUUUGCUUGUUCUAUUGAAAUUGUGAAGAAGAAGGUAUAUUCAGACGUUUUUUGCUUGAACUCAUUCUUAUGAAAGAGAUUUUUCUUAUGAAAGAGAUUUUUAAGAAUGGAUAGCUUAAAAAGAAGAAUGGAUGGCUUAAAAAGGUGGCUUAAAAAGAUGGCUGUUUUUAAAUGAAAAUAGUUAUUUUUACGCUCUUUUGACGAUUGUUACAACAUUAUACGAUUAAAACAUUAUACGAUAAUGAU
rnacentral:tRNA from 1 species